GGAGAACUGAGGGGGGCUGCUCCUAGUACGAGAGGACCGGAGUGGACGCAUCGCUGGUGUUCGGGUUGUCAUGCCAAUGGCACUGCCCGGUAGCUAAAUGCGGAAGAGAUAAGUGCUGAAAGCAUCUAAGCACGAAACUUGCCCCGAGAUGAGUUCUCCCUGACCCUUUAAGGGUCCUGAAGGAACGUUGAAGACGACGACGUUGAUAGGCCGGGUGUGUAAGCGCAGCGAUGCGUUGAGCUAACCGGUACUAAUGAACCGUGAGGCUUAACCUU
rnacentral:rRNA from 1 species